UGAUCUUCUCGAGGAAUUCCAGCCCGUUCAUAUUGGGCAUCUCGACGUCGAGGGUGAUGACGUCGGGGUUCAACUCCUUGAUGGCCGC
rnacentral:tRNA from 1 species